rnacentral:rRNA from 1 species
UGCGGAGGGAUCAUUACACAAUAAAAUAUGAAGGCUGUACGCGGCUGUGCUCUCGGGCCAGUUUUGCGGAGGCUGAAUUAUUUAUUACCCUUGUCUUUUGCGCACUUGUUGUUUCCUGGGCGGGUUCGCCCGCCACCAGGACCACAUCAUAAACCUUUUUUAUGCAGUUGCAAUCAGCGUCAGUAUAACAAAUGUAAAUCAUUUACAACUUUCAACAACGGAUCUCUUGGUUCUGGCAUCGAUGAAGAACGCAGCGAAAUGCGAUACGUAGUGUGAAUUGCAGAAUUCAGUGAAUCAUCGAAUCUUUGAACGCACAUUGCGCCCUUUGGUAUUCCAAAGGGCAUGCCUGUUCGAGCGUCAUUUGUACCCUCAAGCUUUGCUUGGUGUUGGGCGUUUUUUGUCUUUGGUUGCCAAAGACUCGCCUUAAAAGGAUUGGCAGCCGGCCUACUGGUUUCGCAGCGCAGCACAUUUUUGCGCUUGCAAUCAGCAAAAGAGGACGGCAAUCCAUCAAGACUCCUUCUCACGUUUGACCUCGGAUCAGGUAGGGAUACCCGCUGAACUUAAGCAUAUCAAU